rnacentral:ncRNA from 88 species
CUUGACCUCGGAUCAGGUAGGGAUACC